rnacentral:rRNA from 1 species
GACAGAGGGGGCAAGCGUUGCUCGGAUUUACUGGGCGUAAAGGGCGCGUAGGCGGCCCUCCUUGUCGCGGGUGAAAGCCCCGGGCUCAACCUGGGAAUUGCGCGCGAAACGGGGGGGCUUGAGUUCGGGAGAGGAGCGUGGAAUUCCCAGUGUAGAGGUGAAAUUCGUAGAUAUUGGGAAGAACACCGGUGGCGAAGGCGGCGCUCUGGACCGAGACUGACGCUGAGGCGCGAAAGCGUGGGGAGCAAACAGG